UCUUUAGAUCAAUAGAAGGAUCUCUAAUCAAAUUUAUACCAUCCAAUUAAAUAAUGUUAGCGGUCAGGAAAAGGAGGCGCUUGGAAACGUCAUGGAGGACUCUCUCUUGGCUCCAACGUCGACAGAAGAUGUCCCACGUACUUUGAGGAAAUUCAAGCGCACUCGUACGAUUUCUUAUGGUCAGGAGGAUUUGGUUGAUGCUUGUGAAGAACGGAUGGUUGACGGUGGGAGUAGUCCCCAAUCUCAAAAUGCAUCGUAUAGGGAUCGUUUGGUUGGGUUAAUCCGUCCCAACAACAGACUUGGCAGAAUUGGGAUGUUGAAUAUGUUGAUGGUGAUGUUUGUUUUAAUGAUGUUGUUUCGAACUCGGAGGAAACAGUUGUUUCUGGUGCUCAUGCGUUCUUUUCGGUGGAGGAAAAACGGGAGAUGCACAAGCCUUGGCGCACUGCGUUGAUUGUAAAACUCUUGGGGAAAAUCCUGGGAAUCAAAGCUCUCUCUUCCAAGGUGCAGCAGCUCUGGCGUUUGGAGGGGAAUUACAAGAUCAUUGAUUUGGAUAAUGACUAUUUCUUAUUCAAGUUGAACAGAAAUCAUAUUAUAAUCAUGUCUUGGAAUGAGGUCAUUAGAUCAUUAGUGGACACUACCUUACUGUUUGUUAAUGGUUUCUGAAUUUUCAGCCAAGUUGUGAUAAGAUUGAGUUUCUUAUUGCUUGGGUUCAUUUUUCAAAAUUACCUCUGAAAUAUUACACAGUUAUGGCAGUUUGGAGGAUUGUUUCUUGUGUGGGGAGGGUAAUUUGCAUUGAUUGGAAUACGGAAGAUGUUCAAAGAGGAGGAUUUGCAAGGGUUUGUAUUGAUUUGGAUUUAACCAAACUAUCGUGUUCAUCUGUUAGUCUCGGCAAGGUUUGUCAACGUGUUGAAUAUGAUGGGCUACAAUUGAUUUGUUUUUAGUGUGGUAAGUUUGGUCAUAGGAAAGACUCAUGUCCUAUGUCUACUAUUGCUGCUUCUGGCACUGAUAAGGUUCUUUCUUCUUCGACUCAUGUUGCGUCGGACAUGCCUUCAAAAAUGCCAUUACAGCUGAUGGGAACGUCUUUUGGACCUUGGAUGCUAGUGCAAGGUAAAACGUGCAAACCAGUGAGGGACCCAAUUUCAAAUGGAAAGUCUUCGAUUGGGAGUGAUUUUCGGCAUGACGUAAGGAGAUUCUUUGCCUUGAAUCAUGCGGUUGAAGAUUCUAGUAAUAAUGAUAAGACUAAAUUUAAAGUUACGUUGAAGGAUUUUGUUAAGCAUAAUAAAAGUGGUUUUAAAGCUGGGAUGAAAAAAGACUAGAAACUGAGGAAAGAUGGGGGGAUUAAAAUUCACCCUAGAAAAUAGGAGGAUCAUCUGAAGAAACAAGGAGGAACCUAUUGAUUUAAACUUGUCUUAGUUUUUGUUGAGCAUUGGCCUGCAAUGCAACAUGUAACCAGCAGCACAGACAACAGCAGCUGAACAAGCAGAUCAGCAAUAGAACAGAACCAGAUGCAGCAGCUGACUUAGUCCAUUUUGUUCAUUUUGUUCCUAUGUAACUUAGUUUAGUUUGUUUUUAAUUUGAUCAAAAAGCUAGUUGGAUUAGUUUUUUGAUUGAUUCUUGAUGUAAUAGCUGAAAUGUCAGCUUGAUUUUACUUGUAAUUCAAAGAUUGUGUUUGUCUAGUUUUAGUGGGAGCAGUUAUAAUUAUUAGGUAACUGUCAAACAAUGUUUGUAACUCAUAUAUUUUGAAUUUUCAAUCAAUGAAAAGCAGUAGUCAUCCGAUUAUCAUCUUGUUCAAA